GGAGGGAAUCGUCGAAGGUGGGACUGGCGAUUGGGACGAAGUCGUAACAAGGUAGCCGUACCGGAAGGUGCGGCUGGAUCACCUCCUUU
rnacentral:ncRNA from 1 species